rnacentral:ncRNA from 1 species
UAGUGGUGCGGGCGCGACGAUGUGUUUCUCCUUAAUUGGUCGCCAAGGGGGAAACAGGGAGCGAGUGGCGAACCCUCCCGCGGAAAAU